rnacentral:rRNA from 1 species
GAUGAACGCUGGCGGCGUGCCUAAUACAUGCAAGUCGAGCGAACGGACGAGAAGCUUGCUUCUUUGAUGUUAGCGGCGGACGGGUGUGUAACACGUGGAUAACCUACCUAUAAGACUGGGAUAACUUGGGGAAACCGUAGCUAACACCGGAGAAUAUUUUGCACCGCAUGGUUCAAAAGUGAAAGACGGUGUUGCUGUCACUUAUAGCUGGAUCCGCGCUGGAUUAGCUAGUUGGUAAGGUACCGGCGUAGCAAGGCAACGAUGCGUAUGCGAAGUGAGAGAGUGAUCGGCCACAUUGGAAGUGAGACACGCACCAUGCUCCUACGGGACGCAGCAGUAGCGAAUGUGACGCAGUGGGCGAAAGCCUGACGGAGCAGCGCCACGUGAGAUAUGAAGGUCUUCCGUUCGUAAAACUCGGUUAUUAGGGAAGAACAGAUUUGGAAGUUGCUGUGGACAGCUUGACGGUACCUAAUCAGAAAGCCACGGCUAACUACGUG